GUGGGGAAUAUUGGACAAUGGGCGAAAGCCUGAUCCAGCCAUGCCGCGUGUGUGAAGAAGGUCUUCGGAUUGUAAAGCACUUUAAGUUGGGAGGAAGGGCAGUAAGUUAAUACCUUGCUGUUUUGACGUUACCGACAGAAUAAGCACCGGCUAACUUCGUGCCAGCAGCCGCGGUAAUACGAAGGGUGCAAGCGUUAAUCGGAAUUACUGGGCGUAAAGCGCGCGUAGGUGGUUUUGUAAGUUGGAGGUGAAAUCCCCGGGCUCAACCUGGGAACUGCCUCCAAAACUGCAUGACUAGAGGACGGUAGAGGGUAGUGGAAUUUCCUGUGUAGCGGUGAAAUGCGUAGAUAUAGGAAGGAACACCAGUGGCGAAGGCGACUACCUGGACUGAUACUGACACUGCGGUGCGAAAGCGUGGGGAGCAAACAGGAUUAGAAACCCCAGUAGUCC
rnacentral:rRNA from 1 species